AGAGGAGUACUAUUACAAGCAAGUGAGCAACUGGCUUGAAAACUAGAAGUCGUCAAUUAAUAAGCAAACCAGUCAUAAGGCUCCUCCCUAUUGGCAGGCACUGGUGAUUGGUGUAACAUAUAGAGGUUUACAAUCACUUUCAUUCAUGACCUGCCAAAGGAGAGUUGCCCUGCGAUUGCUUUAGCUUAAUAACCUUGCAACCGCAUUCAGUCCAGCAAUCCUCGGGUCCUGCGUAAUACCCUUCCGACAUCGGUUAUGUGCUAAGUAGAUCCUGGACAUAAGAACAGAAAUGGUGUCAUGGUGUAAUAGAUCUAGGAAGAACAAAUUCUUAUCUUCAACAGUUUGAGUACAAGUGGAUAAACCUCAUAUGCUGUUUACAAAAUUUCGGAAUUUCCUAAUGACAUUUAAUUAGUGACUGAUAUCA